rnacentral:misc_RNA from 1 species
ACAAUUACAAUUAAAAACAAAAUGUGAGGAAACCGAAAAUGGAACUUGAAACUCCCUUUACAUAGACAAUUUCCAACAAGGAACAAACAGAAUAUUAACAAAUAUCUUCUUCAUUGUGAGUGGAGAUGUCAUGGGAUAGCAUUCUGAAAUUUUUAAAGUUGAAUGCUACCCAAAAUUUACAAUGGAACAUGAUUGAGGAACUGGAAUAUUGCUAAAAAGAAGAAUGUCGACAUCAUGUGUACUUCAGAAGCAUAAAGUCAAAAAUCAACUGUCCUAUUACAUUGAUAUAUAACUCGUAGGGCUAAUAUUAACACAUUACCAAAAAUUCCCAGCAUCUACAGAAAAUAAACCAUGCUAUAUCUACCCACCAAUAUAAGCAGAUGAAUGUCUAUUUCUACGGUAAAUGAGUCCUAG